rnacentral:sRNA from 1 species
UUGCUGCGGACAGAUAAAAUGGACGUGACUAUCGAUCCCACCGGCCGUAACAAUUAAGCCUUCUCCGGCAAUAACCUCCGUCCCCGGCCCAAUAGCAAACGUAAUCCCGUCUUGUACAUCAGGGUUCCCUGCGCUACCAAUAGCUUGAAUUCUUCCGUCUUUAAGCCCGAUAUCUGCUUUAUAGAUGCCACUAUAAUCGACAAUUAGGGCAUUGGUAAUGACUGUAUCUACGGUAUCCGCACAUGAUAGUUGGGACUGACCUUGGCCAUCU